rfam:TPA: Bos taurus chromosome 26, whole genome shotgun sequence.
UCCCUGGUGGUCCAGUGGUUAAGACUCCACACUCCCAUUGCGGAGGGUCUGGGUUCAGGCCCUGGUCAGGGAA